UCCAAAGAAACCAAAGCAUCAAGGCCUGGUUUAAAUUCCACACAAGCCAAACCAUGAGGGCCCGGUGACUUCCUGGUGGGGUUUCCAUGGUGACACAUUCCCAGCCCAGCGCUCCUGGUGCCCUGAGAGGGCAAUUCAGGAAAGCUGCACCUUCCUGGUAGCUCAGCCCAUGGAGAAAGGAAGAGGAUAACGUGCAGCCAGGAGUUUGGGAUCAAAGGAGGCUGCGUGUCCCGAACCCUCGAGAGAGAAACCCCACGGGGCUGUGCCCCAGUGGGCUCUCUGCCUUUAUUGGAAUGGAGGUGCAGGACUCGUCUGUCUCUUUUAUGGACUCUGCCUUUUCCUAGCGGGAUUUUCUGCACAAAACCCAACCAUCAAAGGCUCAGGAUCUUCCAGGGAAACCAAACUAUCAAAGCCCAGUAACUCCCUGUUUCACGACACCCAGACUCAGAUUUCCUCGGGGUGGCAUUUGCCCAGCCAGGAUCUCGUUCGCCCUUUCAGGAGCAUGUUUUACCAUGCAAACCACACCCUAAGGGGUAGGUAACUUCCAAAGAAACCAAAGCCAUAAACGCUGGGUAAGUUCCAAAGAAAACAAACCAUGGAGGCUGAUUGACCUCCUGGUGAGCUUUCCACAGUUCCAUAUUCCAAACCCAGCCCCCCUGUCACCCUGAGGGGAUAAAUGAGGUCCUGAGAGGGUAAGUGGGGUCCUGAAAGGGUAAAUGAGCUCCUGAGAGGGUAGAUAGGGCCCUGAGGGGGUAAAUCAGGGUCCUAAGGUGGUAAAU